GUGCCAGCAGCCGCGGUAAUACGGGAGUGGCAAGCGUUAUCCGGAAUUAUUGGGCGUAAAGCGUCCGCAGGCGGCCCAACAAGUCUGCUGUUAAAAAGUGGAGCUUAACUCCAUCAUGGCAGUGGAAACUGUUGGGCUAGAGUGUGGUAGGGGCAGAGGGAAUUCCCGGUGUAGCGGUGAAAUGCGUAGAUAUCGGGAAGAACACCAGUGGCGAAGGCGCUCUGCUGGGCCAUCACUGACGCUCAUGGACGAAAGCCAGGGGAGCGAAAGGGAUUAGAUACCCCUGUAGUCCUGGCCGUAAACGAUGAACACUAGGUGUCGGGGGAAUCGACCCCUCCGGUGUCGUAGCCAACGCGUUAAGUGUUCCGCCUGGGGAGUACGCACGCAAGUGUGAAACUCGAAGGAAUUGACGGGGGC
rnacentral:rRNA from 1 species